rnacentral:rRNA from 1 species
UACGGGGGGGGCAAGCGUUGUUCGGAAUUACUGGGCGUAAAGGGCGCGUAGGCGGCCUGUUAAGUCGAACGUGAAAUCCCUAGGCUCAACCUAGGAACUGCGUCCGAUACUGGCAGGCUUGAAUCCGGGAGAGGGAUGCGGAAUUCCAGGUGUAGUGGUGAAAUGCGUAGAUAUCGGGAGGAACACCAGUGGCGAAGGCGGCUUCCUGGCCUGUUCUUGACGCUGAGGCGCGAAAGCUAGGGGAGCAAACGGGG